AACGAACGCUGGCGGCGUGGCUGAGACAUGCAAGUCGCACGGAACUGCUUUUGGGUAACUGAGAACAGUUUAGCGGCGAAAGGGUGAGUAAUGCAUGGGUAACGUACCCCGGGCACCGGGAUAGCAGCGUCUGCUUCGGCAGGCUACCGAAAGGGCUGGUAAUACCGGAUGUGGUUGGUAGCACUGCGGUGCUUUUGAUCAAAGUUGGGGAUCCGCUUCGGCGGACCUAACGGCCUGGGAGCGGCCCAUGUUCCAUCAGCUAGUUGGUAGGGUAAAGGCCUACCAAGGCGAUGACGGAUACCGGGGCUGAGAGGCCGAUCCGGCACAUUGGGACUGAGACACUGCCCAGACCCCCACGGGGGGCUGCAGUAACGAAUCUUCCGCAAUGGGCGCAAGCCUGACGGAGCGACGCCGCGUGUGGGAUGAAUUCCCUCGGGAUGUAAACCACUGUCAGGGUUAUGGAAGCAAACCGCAGUAAUAUUGCGGGGCGUAGACCUAGCCCAGAGGAAGCCACGGCUGACUUCGUGCCAGCAGCCGCGGUAAUACGAAGGUGGCAAGCGUUGUUCGGAAUAACUGGGCUUAAAGAGCACGUAGGCGGCCGGUCUAGCAUUUUGUGAAAUCCCUCGGCUCAACCGAGGAAUUGCGAGGUGAACUGGCCGGCUUGAGCUGCAGAUGGGUGACUGGAACUCUAGGUGGAGUGGUGAAAUACGUAGAUAUCUAGAGGAACGCCGGUGGUGAAAACGGGUCACUGGCUGCAAGCUGACGCUGAGGUGCGAAAGCGUGGGGAGCGAACGGGAUUAGAUACCCCGGUAGUCCACGCCGUAAACGAUGGGCACUAGGUUCGGGGGAGUUUGACCUUUUCCGGGCCGAAGCAAAAGUACUAAGUGCCCCGCCUGGGGAGUACGGUCGCAAGGCUA
rnacentral:rRNA from 1 species